rnacentral:rRNA from 1 species
GACGAACGCUGGCGGCGUGCCUAAUACAUGCAAGUAGAACGCUGAAGGAGGAGCUUGCUUCUCUGGAUGAGUUGCGAACGGGUGAGUAACGCGUAGGUAACCUGCCUGGUAGCGGGGGAUAACUAUUGGAAACGAUAGCUAAUACCGCAUAAUAGCAGUUGUUGCAUGACAACUGUUUGAAAGGUGCAAUUGCACCACUACCAGAUGGACCUGCGUUGUAUUAGCUAGUUGGUGGGGUAACGGCUCACCAAGGCGACGAUACAUAGCCGACCUGAGAGGGGGAUCGGCCACACUGGGACUGAGACACGGCCCAGACUCCUACGGUAGGCAGCAGUAGGGAAUCUUCGGCAAUGGACGGAAGUCUGACCGAGCAACGCCGCGUGAGUGAAGAAGGUUUUCGGAUCGUAAAGCUCUGUUGUAAGAGAAGAACGAGUGUGAGAGUGGAAAGUUCACACUGUGACGGUAUCUUACCAGAAAGGGACGGCUAACUACGUG